rnacentral:rRNA from 1 species
AGUGAACGCUGGCGGUAGGCCUAACACAUGCAAGUCGAACGGCAGCACAGUAAGAGCUUGCCCUUACGGGUGGCGAGUGGCGGGCGGGUGAGGCAUACAUCGGAUUCUACUUUUUCGUGGGUGACAACGUAGGGCCACUUACGCUACCACCUCAUACGACCAACGGGUGGAAGCAGGGGAUCUUCGGACUUUGCCCGACUCAUUUAGCCGAUGUCGGAUUAGCUAGUUGGCGGGGUAAAGGCCCACCAAGGCGACGAUCCGUAGCGGGUCUGAGAGGAUGAUCAGCCACACUGGAACUGAGACACGGUCCAGACUCCUACGGGAGGCAGCAGUAGGGAAUAUUGGGCAAUGGGCGAAAGCCUGAUGCAGCCAUACGGCGUGAGUGAUGAAGGCCUUCGGGUUGUAAAGCCCUUUUAUUGGGGAAGAACAACAGCAGGUUAAUACCCCGAUGUUCUGACGGUACCCAAAGAAUAAGCACCGGCUAACUUCGUG